rnacentral:rRNA from 1 species
UACGGAGGGUGCAAGCGUUAUCCGGAUUCACUGGGUUGAAAGGGUGCGUAGGAGGGCAGGUAAGUCAGUGGUGAAAUCUCCGAGCUUAACUUGGAAACUGCCGUUGAUACUAUCUGUCUUGAAUAUUGUGGAGGUGAGCGGAAUAUGUCAUGUAGCGGUGAAAUGCUUAGAUAUGACAUAGAACACCAAUUGCGAAGGCAGCUCGCUACACAUAUAUUGACUCUGAGGCACGAAAGCGUGGGGAUCAAACAGG